rnacentral:rRNA from 1 species
CAGCAGCCGCGGUAAUACGAAGGGUGCAAGCGUUACUCGGAAUUACUGGGCGUAAAGCGUGCGUAGGUGGUGGUUUAAGUCCGUUGUGAAAGCCCUGGGCUCAACCUGGGAAUUGCAGUGGAUACUGGGUCACUAGAGUGUGGUAGAGGAUGGUGGAAUUCCCGGUGUAGCAGUGAAAUGCGCAGAUAUGCGGAGGAACACCGAUGGCGAAGGCAGCCCCCUGGGCCAACACUGACGCUCAUGCACGAAAGCGUGGGGAGCAAACAGGAUUAGAUACCCGAGUAGUCCCUGUCUCUUAUAC